GUUCAAGCAGGUGCUGCCAAGUUAGUCUGUCCAUUUUUAUCAGGUCUUCAAGCCUGUCAAGCAUCGUUAUUCAAAAUAUUAACAAAAGAAAAACAUGUGACCCGACAAAUGAAAUAUGUGUGAGCUGUCAUGACUAAAGAGAAGUAGGAAACAAAUAAUUUUGGGUCCAUUUUGGUGGCACAUGGUCGUACGAUGGAAAGAAAACAAAACAAACCUUGAACUAUGCUUUUCGUACGUAAAUUCGACUUGAUUGGGACCAGUAACGGCCCCUUGCUCGGUACCAUUUAUUUUCCUGCUCAUUUGCACUCCAAAGUUAUUGAUUUUAGGAGGAACUGUGGCUAAAUUCUCAAACGUUACAAAUUAUUGUAAAUUAAUUAUAUUCAGACUUUUCAUUUUUGUAGUUACGGUUCUAAACCUUUCAUCUCGACAGCAGCUGAAGGAUACAUGGACGGAAUCCACCCAUUUCACCAUUAAUUGAUCAAAAGUAAAUGACUCUUAUCAAAUUUUGAUGGUAAAAUAGUAACUUCAUAUGUUCAAUAUAAAUUUAUUAAAAUAAUCAAAUAAAAAGUCAUAAAAAUAAAAAUAAAAAUAAACAAUUCACCUUCUUCUUUGUACUCAAUGGGAUGAUUUCUAUUCGGAUUCAGAAACCCAAUUCCUUGCCUGAAGAUAGGUUUCAGGAUGCGUUUUAUUCGCUAAUUCUUUUCAAUUUCCAGGCAUUAAUAGGAUUAUUAACACACCUUAGGAUCGUUUAGAUGUUUACUGUUUUGUCUUGCAACUCCUGAUCGUUCAGAUGUUUACUGUUUUGGGGGUGGGAGGAUUACAGCCCCGGCCCAGUCUCCCCCUCCGUCCAUCUCUUGGCUGCCUGUUCGUGCUUUGAUUUUGAAGGUGGGAGGUGGCUGCUUUCUCAGGGUUUUAAUUUUUGGAGUUUGGUUUGGGCGUGGGUUUG
rnacentral:lncRNA from 1 species